AGCUUCUUAAACCCCGGAAGCUCUGACUCAGCUGUAGCCUGAAACAUAAGCGGUGCUUCUUAACGGUUAUUACAUCUCUGCAUUCAGGAUCCUAUUCCAGAGUCUGCUUAAGUCUACUUGCAUAAUGCAGUUUCAGUGACCCAUAGGGAAAAGACUUAUACAGAGGAAGAAGUCAUGGAGCUUCUCGGUGUGUUGCCAUUGGGCCCAGCUUCAUUCUUGGAUCCCUUUUCAAGAUCAGGAAAGCAUCUUUGCCCCUAGAUGACAUUUCAUAUUGACAGCGCCUUCCGGAAUAUCUGCUCAUUGAUGAUCGGGAUCCCGCAUUUAUGGAAGAAAUAUUUUCUUUUCGUACCUCAAGGCAUGACUAUCUCGCAUCUUUGCAAACUGCCCAGGGCAGAGUACUCUGGCGCUAUCUGUUAAUACCAGAAGGUUCUGCAUUACAUAUUUUAUGUUAAGAUGCAAAACAGUGUCACCUAGGGGCCUCAGAUCUUUGAGGAAAAAUUAUAUUUCUGUAAUGAGUGUGUGCUUUUCCUUCAUCAAGUCACUUUUCCAAGCAUGAAGAGAUGUUAAUUUUUGACCGUUCCUCCGUAGUCAUAUUAGGAGGAAUUUCCCAUAAAGGAUUUAUUGGCUGUAGUUAAAGUGAAAUAAUGCAUGAAUUAAAUGGCGAGAAAACGGAAAGCCCAAGCUGUGAGUUUCUUGAGUUUAUGGUUAAUAUUUAAAUAUAUUCUAGGAAGCACGGGUCCAUUUUAUCUUUCAUUUUGACGUAAACUGGAAAUGUUGGUGACUAGCCUCCCGCCUGGGUUUGUGCUUCCUCCGGAGAGGUGACAGAGGAGGAAAGAGCACUGCCGUCUUUAUACAAAGCAGGCAUCUACCAGCCACCAAAUAGUCCCAAUUUCGCUAUUUUAUUCUAAAUAUAGUAUCAGCUUUGCAAAUGUAUAUAUACCUAUUAUUGGGUAGGGGGGACUCUCGGGAAGCCGCAAAUGACAGUUAGUUCCGACUGUCAAUCUACACGUUUAAUGAGAAACUCUGCCCGGUUUAAUGAAUCCUGGCGCUUCACUCUGGCAUCAUUUACACGGAACUUGCAUCGACGGCUCCACCGUGUCAGACCCGGCCUCGGCGUGGCAGCUCCACGGACUUCUCACGGGAGGAGUUUUACUAACUCCCGGGACGCUGCUCCAGGCCUGGGCGCCCCGCGCGGGCACCAGCACCCGAGCAAAGCCGAGACCCAACCACGGCGGCCGGACAGCAGGGCGCCUGGGCCGCGGAGGCAAGGCCGCCGCCUCCUGCCACCUGCCACCUGCCUCCUGCCUCCUGCCACCUGCCUCCUGCCUCCUGCCACCUGCCUCCUGCCACCUGCCGCCGCCUCCCGCCUCCCGCCGCCCCGUGACCCACCGCGCUCCGCAGACUCCGAUGACAAGGAUGGGCCAGCUGUCACUCAUCUCCAUCACCACUUCGAGAAAAAAGAAGGGUCGUACCCAGGGAUGUAGCCCACCUUCAACGUGAAGGCCCAACUCAGAGCUCUCUGUGCCGGUGGCCUGGGCUCCCCUUGGAGACAAGCCCUACUCGGUGCAGGUGCACCAGCUCGGGUGAGAAGCAGACACACAGUAGGGGCCAACGUGACACACACUCCUUAGACAUCUGCAUCACUCCCAAAGUCCUCUACACAGGAAGGAGAUUUGGAGCAAAACCGGUAAGCAGAAGAUGGAGAUGAAGAAAGUGUGUUUGUAACUCAGAAGGAAGAGCCCCCACCCUUGGAGAAAGUGAUGUGCCUGGGAAGAGACAGGUCAUAAUGAGGAGAGAAAAGGCGCCUGGCAUUUGCAUGGCCCCGACAUGGAGCCCUGACUUGGAGAGGGUGUAAUUAGAGCUCUCUCUGUGCAGGAACAAAGGCCUGUCACGAUGAAGAAGAGCCCCAAGCUAAGCAGAACCCCGGCCACCUACAUCUUUCAUUUCCAUCCCCCUGCCUUGAAAGAGGGAAAUAUAAGAAAACAGGUAUGGGGGUGAGGUUUGAGGAUUUUCCUAAUAUUAAGGAGAGGAGGUUCCCUCUGGGCUGAUAUUAUUGCAGGGAUUAAUUACAGAGGUUUGAGGUCAGGGAACUAGUCACCAGUCCCUGGGACAAAUAGCAUCACUAUUGAAAUGACAAGGCUAACACACGACACAGACUCUGUUUCCCUUCAUCUUGCUCAUUCCUUCGGGAUCCUGAGGAUCAGACUGAAGAGUAUGGGCUGGGGAGGUGCCCUGGGUUUGGGCAUCUCGACCCCAAGGCACAGAGGGGACAGGCCACGCCAGCGACGGAGGGCGGCUGGGGCCACUCUGCAGAGCUUCUCGUCACUUCCUCAGUUUGCAGAGCCGGACAACCCUGCUGUAGGUCAGAAUGUGUGAGUUUCCAAAAUGAAGUUCUGUUUACAUGCUCCAUUAAUUUUAAAUAGUGGCCAAGUGUGCUUCGUGAAGGAUUCCGCUAUCUGGCCUGCACGUCCGGACGCUCGCUAUCUCCCCAAAUGCGUGUGGGUUCUUAGGUCCCUCGGGGUAGACAUCCCCUCUGCACAGAGGAGGCAGUGACUGCUAUUAAGUUUGAAUAUUUAGAUUUCUCACUUCAGUAAAUUUCAUCAGGGAAAGCUUAUUUUCAGGGGAUUAGAAAAUGUUGUUAGGCAUUGUCGGAGGACAGCCAUAGGAAACCAACAGUUUGGAUGAUGGUUUUUCAUUGCCUUUGGUGGUAUGAAGGGUUUAGCCAGCCAGACUGUAUGUUCACACUAUGAUCUGGGGCCCCUGCUCACCUCCAUGGCAGUGGACAACUGGCCAAGCCCCAAACAGAGAUUUGUCUCCCAAGCACACAGCACUGCCUUAAAUGAGGAAUAAUAAAGGGCAUGGAGGGCUUGGGGAAAACAUAUAUGUUAUUUAUGGGGCCAGGACAUAUCAAUGUGCAGUCUUCAUUGUGUUGACUUUUACAUUUCCAUGAAGACUAUGGCAGACAUAAGGAGCAUCUUAAUCAUUUCCAUUUCACUAUGGUUUUAAUGACAUAGAUUAUUUUGGAAGAGUUAAAACAUAAAAGCAUAAGGUGGAUGCUAUUUGUAUUAGUGACAGAAUUUAAUGCCUAAAUUAUUUAUAGUAUUAACAGAAUUUUUGUAUAUUGACCAACAUACUACACCUUUCUGUCUACUGUGCAUGUAUAAAUUUCUUUGGCAAUACCCCUAGGUGGCAGGGUAAUAUUAUGAUACUUUAGUUCUGAAGAUGCUCAACAUUCUAACCUUAAAAAGGGAGAGACAGAAAAUUAGUAAUAAUUUCUUGAAUCCUUAAUCUUGAAUUUGAACAUCUCCGAAAAUAGGAAGUAUAAAAAAUCAGUUGGUAGCUGGCCCUAAGCAGGUUUUAUCAUCAAUAUGGAACCACAUGUGUUUGAGUAUUCGAAAACUUGUCUGAAUAAAAAUAGGUUUUUCUUUUAUCUUAGUAAAGAGGAGGGAGAAGAGAGACCUUGGAGCCUGUUGCCCCAACAUCUCGGUAAUCAGAAGCUCAUGUUUUGGAUUAUAAUUUCUUUCCAAAAUAUUCCAUAUCAUUUACUAAAACUGAUUAAACAAAACCCAACAAAACAAAAACAAAGCAAUAACCAGGACUUAGGGUAUGGAUGAUAGUUAACCUAUAUUUUAUUUUGCCAAAAUAACAUUUUAGAACAUGUGAAAUAUAUUCCACUGAAGGCGUGGCUUAAGAGUCCUCUGAAACCUUGCUCAUAUAAAUUGGUACAAUUAUGUAGGGAAGUCAUUGGACAUCUGGACAAAAAAACUCAAAAUAUUUAGGAACUUUGACCUCAUGCUUCCACUUCAUGAAUUGAUCCUAAGGAAGUUAAAUAUAAUAGCAACAAUAACUCUUAUGAACUUUGAUGCACAUUUAAAAUGAUAUAGAAUUUGUUAAUGAAAUAACCAGGUGUUCAUGUGGUGGAAUAAUAUAUAACCAUCAAAAUUUGGUUUACAAACAAUAUUUAAUAUACUGGGAAAUGUUUACCAUAGCAUUAAGUGAAAAAUUUGGAUUUGAAUUGCAAAAAUGUCAUUACAAUAAGAUAUUAAAAAUAAAAGUCUGGCAUAAAAAAAUCUCAAAAUAGUUACAGAAGUUUCCUCUAGAUAUUAUGGGUAAUUCUUCUAGAAUUAUGGGUAAUUUUUUUCAUUAAACUGUUCUAUAAUUUUUAAAUUUUCUCCAAAGAAUUAUAUAUUUUUGUUAUGUAACAACAAAAUAAUUUUAGUUCCUGUAUUUCUGUGACUAUGUCCAAACACAAAACAUAUUUAGAUAGAUGACUAAGAUGUGUAAAUAUAGUUUUAUAUAUGUGUUUGGUGUGAAUAGAAUGAGAAAAAUGUGCUGGUUAUUUCUAUAUUAAUAUUCAGAUUGAAGUAGAUCAUUGAACUUAUCUGAGCUUGUUAUCUAAUUUUUAAACAUCUAAAUAGAAUGAAAAUCAGUCAAGAUAAUCAUUGAGAUUUUAAAAUGAUAAAAUUUACAGAUUAAUAAUACUUUAUAAAUCUUCAAUAGAAGUGCCAAUUCAUAAAGCUUGAAUUCCUGUUCAUGAGAAUUAAAAAUUCAUAAAUGAGGUGUUUUCACAGUGUUCUCUUUCAUAAUCUUACAAAGCUAUGUACUUCUACUUUAAUACAUUAUGUGCAACUUCAUGGCUAUUAAUGAAUAAAAAAUAGUCUUAAAUGUUCAUAUAUUUGCAAAAUGUCACAAAAUAUAUAUCCCUGUGUUGACUGAGACCCGUUUUUACGUGGUCUUCUUUCUCUCCUAGCAUUUUUAAAAAUAAUAUUUUUUAAAGAUUUUAUUUUUGAGUAAUGUCCACACCCAACAUGGACUCGAACUUAGAAUCCUGAGAUCAAGAGUUGCACACUGCACCGACUGAGCCCGCUAGGUGCCCCCUUUUUUUUUGAAGUAUUUAGAAGAUACCACAAGGGUCAGAGGUGAAGGAGCCUCAGGGGAAGCCCUCAACAUGGGCAAAUUAGGUAGUGUGUCCUUCAAUAACUAAGGCUCUCAGCUCAUAACUCCUGUUUUCCUUACCACCUACAUCUGUGAGACUUUGGUUUGCUAGUUUCACUGGUGUCUCUCACUCCCACCUACAACCUUUGCCGUGAUCAUUAAACUGGG